UACGGAGGGUGCAAGCGUUAUCCGGAUUCACUGGGUUUAAAGGGUGCGUAGGCGGGUAAGUAAGUCCGUGGUGAAAUCUCUGAGCUUAACUCAGAAACUGCCGUGGAUACUAUUUGCCUUGAAUAUUGUGGAGGUGAGCGGAAUAUGUCAUGUAGCGGUGAAAUGCUUAGAUAUGACAUAGAACACCAAUUGCGAAGGCAGCUCACUACACAAUCAUUGACGCUGAGGCACGAAAGCUAGGGGAGCAAACAGG
rnacentral:rRNA from 1 species